GACGAACGCUGGCGGCGUGCUUAACACAUGCAAGUCGAACGGAAAGGCCCUGCUUUUGUGGGGUGCUCGAGUGGCGAACGGGUGAGUAACACGUGAGUAACCUGCCCUUGACUUUGGGAUAACUUCAGGAAACUGGGGCUAAUACCGGAUAGGAGCUCCUGCUGCAUGGUGGGGGUUGGUAAGUUUCGGCGGUUGGGGAUGGACUCGCGGCUUAUCAGCUUGUUGGUGGGGUAGUGGCUUACCAAGGCUUUGACGGGUAGCCUGCCUGAGAGGGUUACCGGCCACAUUGGGACUGAGAUACGGCCCAGACUCCUACGGGAGGCAGCAGUGGGGAAUAUUGCACAAUGGGCGGAAGCCUGAUGCAGCAACGCCGCGUGCGGGAUGACGGCCUUCGGGUUGUAAACCGCCUUCGCCUGUGACGAAGCGUGAGUGACGGUAAUGGGUAAAGAAGCACCGGCUAACUACGUG
rnacentral:rRNA from 1 species